UGGAGGAGGAGGAAGAGAGGAAGGGGGAGAGAGAGAGAGGAGAAGAAACGAGAGUAAACAUUAUCGGCGAACUGCGAAUGGCUCAUUAUAUAAGUUAUCGUUUAUUUGAUAGCACCUUACUACUUGGAUAACCGUGGUAAUUCUAGAGCUAAUACAUGCUGAAAAUCCCGACUUCGGAAGGGAUGUAUUUAUUAGAUUAAAAACCAAUGCCCUCUGGAAAGAAAAAAAAGCAUGAUAACUGCGCGAAUCGCAUGGCCUUGCGCCGGCGAUGGUUCAUUCAAAUUUCUUCCCUAUCAACUUUCGAUGUUUGGGUAGUGGCCAAACAUGGUUGCAACGGGUAACGGAGGGUUAGGGCUCUGCCCCGGAGAAGGAACCUGACAGUCGGAAAUACAGCCAUUGUAAUAGUCAUUGCCCGAUAGUUACCCUCUCUACGACACGAGUGAGAUCCCAGCCAGCAUCUGACUCAUUUCGAUAUUGUGUAAGGACUAUAUAUAUAGAACACUGCAGCCUAGGUCAGGAUACCCCACAUGCACGAAAGAACUUAAUCCAAAUAUAGAAUAGUCCGAGAAAGAUAUAAAGCACCCUGUCCUGCAAAACACAUUAUUAUAAAUAUAUAAGGCAAUAUUGAUUCUAUAUAAAUUUAUUCUUCUUAGGAAGUUGA
rnacentral:rRNA from 1 species